CGUCGAUUCUCCCUCGUCGGCGGCAAGCGGUCCGGCGGAAAGACGAAUCAAGCGGCCGGUGGCGGUCGGCGUUCGUUGUUCGUAGCGGCCGGUGGUGCUGCAUCAACGAGGCGCGUCAGGGGCCAUCUUCUAGUGCGCCGAGUGUCGAUGCGUCCGAUUCGACCGGGCUGAGAGGAGAUACCGUCGAAGAUCAUUGUCGGGGAGGUUCUACAUCAACACCUACCGUCCUCUGUUUCUCAAUUUUGUGAGGAGUGCUCAUUUUCAAACAGUUCUGUCAAACAUAUUUUUAUCAUGAAACCCUCACGCAUACCUAAAAGUGCCAAGGCUGGACCGAUGUUCAUCUUUGCAUGGUUUAUGUCAGAUACAUCUUUUCAAUCGAUCAUCUCCCAUGAAGCUUUUUAGGUGGUGCAAGGGCAUGAGUCCGUCUGGAGUGUUUAGAUCAA